CUUAUCCAUAAUGUUAAUUAUUGUGUAUAUUUUGGCGCUUCGAGCAUCUUUGAUUAAAUCAAAGUUGAUAGUCUCGCAAAAGCCGCAUUGCAUUAUCACAGAUUAUCACGUAACCAAAAUAUCACAGAUUAUUGGUAAUAUUUAUUUCCAUCCAUCUUUGAACCCAAUCUUUGGACCCAAUCUUUGCCCCCUGUCUGACCCUAACAAGGUCAAAUUACACAGAGGCUAAAAAUAUUUCGCUCUUUCAUCUUUUGCCUAUUUCUUUCUUUUUGUUUUCUCUUUCCUUUUCUCUGUCUUCUUUUCAAAAGUCAUCUCUCUCCAAAAAUGUUUGUCUUGCAAACAUGAAGCAAGGCGUCUAGCAAACAAAACAUGCUUCUUCUUUCUACUUUUGUAGAUUAUUUUAAGUUAUCAUGAAUUUAUUUAAUUGUGACUCCAUUUACAACACGUUUUAAUACAAUGUAUUGGUUAACAUUUCACCCAUUGUUUAUUUACAAUUCAAUAGUCAUUAAUUGAAUAGCUAAAUAUCCUCAAUUUAGGUCUUACCUUUUUUACCUUGGAUUUUCUUUGACCUCUUACCAAUCACAACUUUAACACAUCAAAUAUGGCGCGUUAACAUGGUUGACUAUCAAUUGUGAUCAUAUCUUUGGACUGUCGACAUCGAUUGAAGCUUUACAACAUUGGUCUUUGUCGUGUCCACAACCUGACAAUCUUUCAUCAAUUUUUGUUCAAUUUUCCAGCCGAUUGUCAUCUUGCAAAUCAUGUCAUCUUUAAUUCACCAGCAUAUUCGUGAAAUUUUCAUGCUACCCUCUAAAUUAAUUUCUAAAUUCCAAGAAUGGAUAUAUGGUUAUAUUAAGUUGGUAGUUGGUUUGGCUUGCUCAGUUACCUGCCUAUUUUGCGUUUUCACUUUUAUUUGGUAUUUAACUAUCCGUGGUCUUUAUAGUUUUUUAAUCAACUUUCAAUGUAUACAAACAAAUGGUUGUGAUAAUGGUGAUGUUAAUGGCUUAAACAUUGAUUAUGCAGAAUAUCAACCUGGAAAACGGAAAAGUUUCCUCACUAGGUGUCGAGCGCAAGCUGAAUUGAUACAAAAAGAGCAUUUUAUUGAUAACACAACUAAUCUGUUAUUAAUUUCAAAUCACAAUUUGUGUUCUUCAAGCUUUAUUUAAUAUCAAGACUUGUUCAUCUCGGCAAAGGGUCAAAACGGCGAAGGCAAAAUAAAGGAGUAAUAAUAAAGAUCCAUCGGAUUUGACAAAAGUUGCUCGGAUUAUCAUUGUUAUCAUCUUGUAUGAAACAUUAAAAAUAUCAUGACAUAAUUAUAA